CGGUUGAUCCUGCCGGAGGAUACUGCUAUUGGGAUACGGCUAAGUCAUGCCAGUCACUGGGGUAACCCAGGGCAUACCGCUGAGUAACACGUAGUUAAUCUACCUUUAGGACAGGGAUAAUCUCGGGAAACUGAGGAUAAUACCUGAUAGGGAAUUUGGUCUGGAAAGAUAUUUUCCUUAAAGUUUCGACGCCUAAAGAUGGGACUGCGGUGGAUUAGGUUGAUGUUAGGGUAAUGGCCUAACAUGCCUGUAAUCUAUAGGGGCCAUGAGAGUGGGGGCCCCCAGAUGGGUUCUGAGACAGAAACCCAGGCCCUACGGGGCGCAGCAGAUACGGAAACUUCGCAAUGCACGAAAGUGUGACGAGGGUAUCCCAAGUGCCAGCACAAUGUGUUGGCUUUUGCCAAGCGUAAAUAACUUGGCGAAUAAGUGGUGGGUAACACAGUUGCCAGCCGCCGCGGUAAUAACUGGGCCACAAGUAGUAUCCACUUAUAUUGGGUUUAAAGCGUUCGUAGCCGGGUGAAUAAGUUCCCUGUGAAAUCCUAUGGAAAACUGUAGGGCGUGCAGGAAAUACUGUUCACCUUGAGAUCGGAGGGAGAUAGAGGUACUCCUGGGGUAGGGGUUAAAUCCUGUAAUCCUGGGGGGACCACCUGUGGCGAAGGCGUCUAUCUAAGACGAAUCUGACGGUGAGGAACGAAAGCUAGGGGAGCGACCCGGAUUAGAUACCCGGUUAGUCCUAGCCGUAAACGAUGCUCGCUAGGUAUU
rnacentral:rRNA from 1 species